GAUGGACGCUAGCGGCAGGCUUAAUACAUGCAAGUCGAGGGGCAGCAUGAUUGUAGCAAUACAAUUGAUGGCGACCGGCAAACGGGUGCGGAACACGUACACAACCUUCCAAUAAGUGGGGAAUAGCCCAGAGAAAUUUGGAUUAAUACCCCGUAACAUAACGAUGUGGCAUCACAUUGUUAUUAUAGAUUUUUCGCUUAUUGAUGGGUGUGCGGCUGAUUAGAUAGUUGGCGGGGUAACGGCCCACCAAGUCUACGAUCAGUAGCUGAUGUGAGAGCAUGAUCAGCCACACGGGCACUGAGACACGGGCCCGACUCCUACGGGAGGCAGCAGUAAGGAAUAUUGGACAAUGGACGCAAGUCUGAUCCAGCCAUGCCGCGUGAAGGAUUAAGGUCCUCUGGAUUGUAAACUUCUUUUAUAAGGGACGAAAAAAGGCUUUUCUAAGUCGUCUGACGGUACCUUAUGAAUAAGCACCGGCUGACUCCGUGCCAGCAGCCGCCGUAAGAC
rnacentral:rRNA from 1 species